AGCUGGAACUACAGGCGCCCGCCAUGAUGCCCGGCUCAUUUUCUGUGUUUUCAGUAGAGACGGGGUUUCACUGUGUUAGCCAGGAAAGUCUUGAUCUCCUGACCUCGUGAUCCUGACCUCGGCCUCCCAAAGUGCUGGGAUUACAGGCGCGAGCCACCGCGCCCGACAGCAGUUAUGAAGUUCUAAAAGCAAGUCUUAAUCAGGAAGUGUCCUUGAUCACCAACGGCUCGCCCAGGCAUGCUGGCUCUCUUCCACUUCCACCUUCCACCAUGGGAUGACGCAGUAAGAAGGCCAUCAGUAGAUGCCAGUCCCUCAACCUUGAACUUUCCAGACGCAGAACUUUUAAACAUUUCAUUCCAUCAUCGUGUUCCUGGUUUCUAUGAGAACUCCACUGUCAUUCUUAUUCUUGUUCCUCUAAAUGUGAGGUAUUUUUUUCUCCUUGGGCUUCUUUCAAAAUUUUUCUCAUUGACUCUGGUUCGCUUAUGACAUGCCUAGGUGUAGUCCAUUUUGAGUAUUAUGUAAUGAGACACCAGAUCUUAUUUCAACCUUCUGUUUUGGCUGGAUUUCCUCUGAAACUGCUCUGGCAGCAAAGGAGGAAGGGUUACUCCCAGCUAGGGUUAUAAUUCCAGGUCCCUCACCUGGCCGCUGGGGAAGAGGCUCCGCAUUACUGCGUGACAGAGAUGCAAGUUCUGAAUCACCUCUAGGCCUCCACUGAGACGCUCCAUCUGGGAUGACUGGAAUUUU
rnacentral:lncRNA from 1 species